rnacentral:lncRNA from 1 species
UUCAAUAUGCCUGUUAUGGAUUCUUUUUAUCAGUCUCAACUGUCACACAACUCAAAUACUUCAAAGACUGUUUAGUACGAAGUCACAUCAUCUGAGUUAAUAUACCAGGUGAAUUACUCUGAUAUCCAGUGUUGUUAACAUCUAAGUUAAAGACUGUUGGUGACUUUUCUUUAGUUGUUAACAACUUCAUUACCACUCAUGUGCACAACCCUCC